AGUUUUUUUGGUUUUUUUUU
rnacentral:miRNA from 1 species